rnacentral:rRNA from 1 species
GACGAACGCUGGCGGCGUGCCUAAUACAUGCAAGUCGAACGCUGAAGGAGGAGCUUGCUUCUCCGGAUGAGUUGCGAACGGGUGAGUAACGCGUAGGUAACCUGCCUGGUAGCGGGGGAUAACUAUUGGAAACGAUAGCUAAUACCGCAUAAGAGUAGAUGUCGCAUGACAUUUGCUUAAAAGGUGCAACUGCACCACUACCAGAUGGACCUGCGUUGUAUUAGCUAGUUGGUGAGGUAACGUCUCACCAAGGCAACGAUACAUAGCCGACCUGAGAGGGUGAUCGGCCACACUGGGACUGGGACACGGCCCAGACUCCUACGGGAGGCAGCAGUAGGGAAUCUUCGGCAAUGGACGGAAGGCUGACCGAGCAACGCCGCGGGAGGGAAGAAGGUUUUCGGAUCGUAAAGCUCUGUUGUAAGAGAAGAACGAGUGUGAGAGUGGAAAGUUCACACUGUGACGGUAUCUUACCAGAAAGGGACGGCUAACUACGUG